CACGGAGUUAGCCGGAGCUUAUUCUCCAGGUACUGUCAUUAUCAUCCCUGGUAAAAGAGCUUUACAACCCUAGGGCCUUCAUCACUCACGCGGCAUUGCUGGAUCAGGCUUUCGCCCAUUGUCCAAUAUUCCCCACUGCUGCCUCCCGUAGGAGUCUGGGCCGUGUCUCAGUCCCAGUGUGGCUGAUCAUCCUCUAAGACCAGCUAUGGAUCGUCGCCUUGGUAGGCCUUUACCCCACCAACUAGCUAAUCCAACGCGGGCCCAUCCUAAAGGCGAUAAAUCUUUGGUCCGAAGACAUUAUUCGGUAUUAGCACCCCCUUGGGGAGUUAUCCGAACCUAAAGGCAGGUUCCCACGCGUUACGCACCCGUGCGCCACUAGACCCGAAGGUCUCGUUCGACUUGCAUGUGUUAGGCAUGCCGCCAGCGUUCGUUCUGAGCCAGGAUCGAAACUCU
rnacentral:rRNA from 1 species